AACUAUUGAGGUAGUGCCUCGUGUGUCGCUCCAGGGGGUAGAGCACUGUUUUGGCUAGGGGGACAUGGAGUCUUACCAAACCAAGGCAAACUCCGAAUACCUGGAAGCGUGAGCACGGGAGACAGAGCACCGGGUGCUAACGUCCGGACUCAAAAGGGAAACAACCCAGACCGCCGGCUAAGGUCCCAAAUAACAGCUAAGUGGAAAACGAAGUGGAAAGGCCGUGACAACCAGGAAGUUGGCUUAGAAGCAGCCAUCCUUCAAAGAAAGCGUAAUAGCUCACUGGUCGAGUCCUUCUGCGCGGAAGAUGUAACGGGGCUAAGCUGUUAACCGAAGCCGCGGAUGCACUGGUUAUCCAGUGCGUGGUAGGGGAGCGUUCUGUAAGUCUGCGAAGGCGGUUCGAGAGGACUGCUGGAGAUAUCAGAAGUGCGAAUGCUGACAUAAGUAACGAUAAAACGGGUGAAAAACCCGUUCGCCGGAAGACCAAGGGUUCCUGUCCAACGUUAAUCGGGGCAGGGUGAGUCGGCCCCUAAGGCGAGGCUGAAAAGCGUAGUCGAUGGGAAACGGGUUAAUAUUCCCGUACUUGGAUAAACUGCGAUGUGGGGACGGAGCAGGUUAGGUUAUCGCACUGUUGGAUAUGUGCGUUUAAGUUGGUAGGUGAGAAGUUUAGGCAAAUCCGGACUUCUUUAACACCGAGAGAUGAUGACGAGGCUCUACGGAGCUGAAGUAACCGAUACCACACUUCCAGGAAAAGCCACUAAGCUUCAGGUUUAUCUAAACCGUACUGAAAACCGACACAGGUGGUCAGGUAGAGAAUACUCAGGCGCUUGAGAGAACUCGGGUGAAGGAACUAGGCAAAAUAGCACCGUAACUUCGGGAGAAGGUGCGCCGGCGUAGAUUGUAGUCCCUUGCGGAUGAAGGUUGAACCGGUCGAAGAUACCAGCUGGCUGCAACUGUUUAUUAAAAACACAGCACUCUGCAAACACGAAAGUGGACGUAUAGGGUGUGAUGCCUGCCCGGUGCUGGAAGGUUAAUUGAUGGUGUAAUCGAAAGAGAAGCUCCUGAUCGAAGCCCCAGUAAACGGCGGCCGUAACUAUAACGGUCCUAAGGUAGCGAAAUUCCUUGUCGGGUAAGUUCCGACCUGCACGAAUGGCAUAAUGAUGGCCAGGCUGUCUCCACCCGAGACUCAGUGAAAUUGAAAUCGCCGUGAAGAUGCGGUGUACCCGCGGCUAGACGGAAAGACCCCGUGAACCUUUACUAUAGCUUGACACUGAACAUUGAAUUUUGAUGUGUAGGAUAGGUGGGAGACUUUGAAGUAGUCACGCCAGUGAUUAUGGAGUCGUCCUUGAAAUACCACCCUUUAACGUUUGAUGUUCUAACGAAGAUUACGAAACGUGGUCUCGGACAGUGUCUGGUGGGUAGUUUGACUGGGGCGGUCUCCUCCCAAAGAGUAACGGAGGAGCACGAAGGUUUGCUAAUGACGGUCGGACAUCGUCAGGUUAGUGCAAUGGUAUAAGCAAGCUUAACUGCGAGACAGACAAGUCGAGCAGGUACGAAAGUAGGUCAUAGUGAUCCGGUGGUUCUGAAUGGAAGGGCCAUCGCUCAACGGAUAAAAGGUACUCCGGGGAUAACAGGCUGAUACCGCCCAAGAGUUCAUAUCGACGGCGGUGUUUGGCACCUCGAUGUCGGCUCAUCACAUCCUGGGGCUGAAGUAGGUCCCAAGGGUAUGGCUGUUCGCCAUUUAAAGUGGUACGCGAGCUGGGUUUAGAACGUCGUGAGACAGUUCGGUCCCUAUCUGCCGUGGGCGUUGGAGAAUUGAUUGGGGCUGCUCCUAGUACGAGAGGACCGGAGUGGACGCAUCACUGGUGUUCCAGUUG
rnacentral:rRNA from 1 species